rnacentral:rRNA from 1 species
UACGAAGGGGGCUAGCGUUGCUCGGAAUCACUGGGCGUAAAGCGCACGUAGGCGGCUUUCUAAGUCAGGGGUGAAAUCCUGGAGCUCAACUCCAGAACUGCCUUUGAUACUGGAGAGCUUGAGUCCGGGAGAGGUGAGUGGAACUCCGAGUGUAGAGGUGAAAUUCGUAGAUAUUCGGAAGAACACCAGUGGCGGAAGGCGGCUCACUGGCCCGGUACUGACGCUGAGGUGCGAAAGCGUGGGGAGCAAACAGG